CCGUGAGGGAAAGGCGAAAAGAACCCCGGCGAGGGGAGUGAAAAAGAACCUGAAACCGUGUACGUACAAGCAGUGGGAGCCCCACCACUAAGCCAGUGGUGAACUCCACAUACGCAUCCUUUGCUGAAGGCAAUGGUUAACGGAGCGAAAGCGACGUUCAACCGCAAAAGAAGCAGAGGGGGCUUAGUGGUGGGGUGACUGCGUACCUUUUGUAUAAUGGGUCAGCGACUUAUAUUCUGUAGCAAGGUUAACCGAAUAGGG
rnacentral:rRNA from 1 species